rnacentral:rRNA from 1 species
GACGAACGCUGGCGGCGUGCCUAAUACAUGCAAGUCGAACGAGAGCGACCGGUGCUUGCACUGGUCAAUCUAGUGGCGAACGGGUGAGUAACACGUGGGUAACCUGCCCAUCAGAGGGGGAUAACAUCCGGAAACGGAUGCUAAAACCGCAUAGGUCUUCGAACCGCAUGGUUUGAAGAGGAAAAGAGGCGCAAGCUUCUGCUGAUGGAUGGACCCGCGGUGCAUUAGCUAGUUGGUGAGGUAACGGCUCACCAAGGCCGUGAUGCAUAGCCGACCUGAGAGGGUGAUCGGCCACAUUGGGACUGAGACACGGCCCAAACUCCUACGGUAGGCAGCAGUAGGGAAUCUUCCGCAAUGGACGCAAGUCUGACGGAGCAACGCCGCGUGAGUGAAGAAGGUUUUCGGAUCGUAAAACUCUGUUGUUAGAGAAGAACAAGUGCUAGAGUAACUGUUAGCGCCUUGACGGUAUCUAACCAGAAAGCCACGGCUAACUACGUG